UGGGGAAUAUUGCGCAAUGGGGGAAACCCUGACGCAGCGACGCCGUGUGAGUGAUGAAGGCUUUCGGGUCGUAAAGCUCUGUCGGAUGGGACGAAUAAAGGGUGUGUGAAUAAUGCGCUCUGAUGACGGUACCGUCGAAGGAAGCACCGGCUAACUCCGUGCCAGCAGCCGCGGUAAUACGGAGGGUGCAAGCGUUGUUCGGAAUUAUUGGGCGUAAAGCACGCGUAGGCGGGCUUGUAUGUCAGAUGUGAAAGCCCUUGGCUCAACUGAGGAAGUGCAUCUGAAACUGCAAGUCUUGAGUACGAGAGAGGAGAGUGGAAUUCCCAGUGUAGAGGUGAAAUUCAUAGAUAUUGGGAAGAACACCGGCGGCGAAAGCGGCUCUCUGGCUCGAUACUGACGCUGAGGCGUGAAAGCGUGGGGAGCAAACAGG
rnacentral:rRNA from 1 species